rnacentral:lncRNA from 1 species
ACAAUCGGAUACAGACGGCUGUGGGACAAACGCGCAGCUGGACUACAAGCAGUUAUGAAAGUUUAAGAUCUAGGUGGAGGCUAUGUAGUACCGAGAUCGAGGAGGAUACCUUGAAGGAUGUAGGCUUUAAGUUUCUUGGUGGCAGAGGUAUGCAGAGUGCGAGGUUGAUGCACAGGGCAUGGUGCACAGGAGAUCCACUUUGGCGGCAGUAGAUGUGGAUGCAUCAGAUGCAUGAGCAUGA